GUGACGGGAUCUUGACUGAACCCUCUGGAAACCAAGAAUGGAGUGAGAGAUCCACUUCAUCCUUACAACAGACACCAAGUGACCUGACUGAACCCUCUGGAGACCAUGAAUGGAGUGAGAGAUCCACUUCAUUCUUACAACAGACACCAAGUGACCUGACUGAACCCUCUGGAAACCAAGAAUGGAGUGAGAGAUCCACUUCAUCCUUACAACAGACAUCAAGUGACAGGUACCUGACUGAACCCUCUGGAAACCAAGAAUGGAGUGAGAGAUCCACUUCAUCCUUACAACAGGUUACUACUUCUUAUCAUGAUAUACUAGGUUUGAGUUUUCAGCUUUCUUUGAC